GGUGAUGGAUGGGGAUGCGUCUGAUUAGCUUGUUGGCGGGGUAACGGCCCACCAAGGCUACGAUCAGUAGGGGUUCUGAGAGGAAGGUCCCCCACAUUGGAACUGAGACACGGUCCAAACUCCUACGGGAGGCAGCAGUGAGGAAUAUUGGUCAAUGGACGAGAGUCUGAACCAGCCAAGUAGCGUGCAGGAUGACGGCUCUAUGGGUUGUAAACUGCUUUUAUAAGGGAAUAAAGUUAGUCUCGUGAGACUUUUUGCAUGUACCUUAUGAAUAAGGACCGGCUAAUUCCGUGCCAGCAGCCGCGGUAAUACGGAAGGUCCGGGCGUUAUCCGGAUUUAUUGGGUUUAAAGGGAGCGUAGGCCGGAGAUUAAGCGUGUUGUGAAAUGUAGAUGCUCAACAUCUGCACUGCAGCGCGAACUGGUUUCCUUGAGUACGCACAAAGUGGGCGGAAUUCGUGGUGUAGCGGUGAAAUGCUUAGAUAUGACGAAGAACUCGGAUUGCGAAGGCAGCCUGCUGUAGCGCAACUGACGCUGAAGCUCGAAAGCGUGGGUAUCGAACAGGAUUAGAUACCCUGGUAGUCCACGCGGUAAACGAUGGAUGCUCGCUGUUU
rnacentral:rRNA from 1 species